rnacentral:rRNA from 1 species
AUACGGGGGGUGCAAGCGUUACUCGGAAUCAUUGGGCGUAAAGGGCGCGUAGGCGGCCCGGUAAGUCAGGUGUGAAAGCCCGGGGCUCAACCCCGGAAGUGCAUUUGAUACUGCCAGGCUUGAGUAUGGGAGAGGGAAAUGGAAUUCCUGGUGUAGAGGUGAAAUUCGUAGAUAUCAGGAGGAACACCGGUGGCGAAGGCGACUUCCUGGACCAAUACUGACGCUGAGGCGCGAAGGCGUGGGGAGC